rnacentral:lncRNA from 10 species
UAAUCAUUGUGCUGGGCUUACAGAAAUGAGCCAACGCUGCAGGACAGCAAAUACAUUUUAAGGUGUAGUGGGAUAAGGGAAUACUCUUUCUUAAGCUAACAGCUACUGGACUUGAACUUCACCGGGUGGGUGUUGUAUGGCCAUCUUGUUGAUUGCUGCAGCCUAGAACAUAGAACAUGGCCAGGCACACGGUAGGUGUUCGUUCACAUUUGACUACCAGCCAUCCAAGCAGGUUAGAAGACAGGUUAUCUUUUCAUAAAGAUGGAACCUCAAAAAUGGAACCGACCCCAACACAGUGAUAAACACAGUCAUAGUUUUAUAAAAUAGGUGCAGGACUUUUGGCCUUUAACUGCAAACCACAUGGGCUCCAGUCCUGAGUUCUGGGAUUGGGAGGGAAAGCAAACACAAGGUUGUGGCUUUAUCACUUGGCUUCGGUUCCCUUCUGCAAAUAACUGAAUGCUGUUGUUCAUUACUGAGAGGACGCUUUAUUUCCUUGUGCAAAAGAGCAUUUCAAGUCAAGGUAGUCAGUCACACUUGGGCGAGUCCGGCUCACAUAGGAACUGGGGGUAGAAGAGGUACUUUAAGUUGUACUCAGUUUGGGCUAAGCAGUUAGCAAUCUCCUGGUCACACUUGCACAACAGUUCUUGGCAUUUGUUCUCUGCCGGUCCUGGAAGAAGUGGGGAAACUGAGAUUAGAGC